UACAUAGCUUAAUGAGGGGAACUCAGGGAACUGAAACAUCUAAGUACCUGAAGGAAGAGAAAGAAAUUCGAUUCCGUAAGUAGCGGCGAGCGAACGCGGAUUAGCCCAAACCAAUAAAGUUUUCUUUAUUGGGGUUGCGGACAUAUCAUAACGAAGAGGUAUCGUAAUUGAAGAGGUUUGGAAAGACCCACCACAGAAGGUAAUAGUCCUGUAUGUUAAACGAGAAGACUUUAGAUAUGAUCCAGAGUACCACGGGACACGUGAAACCCUGUGGGAAGCAGGAGGGACCACCCUCCAAGGCUAAAUACUACCUAGUGACCGAUAGCGUAUAGUACCGUGAGGGAAAGGUGAAAAGAACCCCGGGAGGGGAGUGAAAUAGAACCUGAAACCCUGCACUUACAAGCUGUGGAAGCACAUUUCUUGUGUGACCGCGUACUUUUUGUAGAACGGGCCAACGAGUUACGUUAAGUAGCAAGGUUAAGCACUUAAGGUGCGGAGCCGUAGCGAAAGCGAGUUUUAACUGAGCGUUCAGUUACUUGACGUAGACCCGAAACCGGGCGACCUACCCAUGAGCAGGAUGAAGCGAAAGUAAAAUUUCGUGGAGGUCCGAACCCACGAGCGUUGAAAAGCUCGGGGAUGACUUGUGGGUAGCGGUGAAAUUCCAAUCGAGCCCGGAGAUAGCUGGUUCUCCCCGAAAUAGCUUUAGGGCUAGCCUCAAGGUGAGAGAUACGGAGGUAGAGCACUGAAUGUCCUAGGGGGUAUUGCACCUACCGAAGACUAUCAAACUCCGAAUGCCGUCAUCUUAUACUUGGGAGUCAGACUGUGGGUGAUAAGAUUCAUAG
rnacentral:rRNA from 1 species